GAGUGCACUAAUAUGAGUGCUAUAAUUAUUAUUUUGGUCACAUGAAUAAUUAUGAUGUGGUAUUUUAUUAAUGAGUGACUUUACCAUAGUUUUGUGAUUUUAUUUGAUCACCUUUCACACACUUUAUUUAAUUACCCAUACCAUAUGUUAUAUGCCUAAAUUUUGCUAAGUAAAGAAUUGAGAGAGUAGAGAUUUAGAGAGUAGAGAUUAAGAGAGUGUAGAGAUUUAGAGAGAGAGAGAUCAAGGCAUUAAUGCCAAAUAUUCUCUUAGAUUCACAAAUCUUUCCAAAGAUUAGCCAAAUCCUUCUAUAUCUUGCAAAGGAUUUUCCUCUCUCUUCUCCACCCCAUUUUCGAUCUCUCUCCCUCUCCCUCAUCUCUCACUUCACUUUCCUCCAUUGUUAGCCAUUGAUGAAACCUUCGAAGCUUCACCCAAGUAUGCCAAACACAUAAAUCACUACUUAAAUCCUCCAUAAACACAUCCUAUUAACUUGAAUUCAAGAGAAUCCUUGAAGGAAGGCUUCAAGACUAGAGAGAGAAAGUUUGAGUUUUGGUGAAGAACUUGAACACGAGCAGAGCAAGGAAGUAAGUAACUCCACUUUGACGGGAGUUUUUGAGUAAGGUCUUCAGGCUAAGCGAGGAGUGAGAUUGGUCUGGUGCUGGUGGGGGAUCGUUGGAUGACGUAUUUACUUUAUCGUAUUUCCUUUUUAUCGAUAAAGUCUUGAUGUGAAGUUACUUUAAAUAUGAAGCAAGUAAUAUACUCACGGUUAUGUGUCUCCAUACAUGUAACUGGUUCGCCUUUUGCUGCGAUACUCUGCAUAUUAUGUUUCCUUAUGAAAAAUAAGCUAUACCUGUUUUGUUUUUGUUCGUGAAUUUCCUGAUAAUUAAAAAGUUAUAACGACGUUGACGAUUUUACCCUUGGGUUCAAUUGAUAAUAUUUUCCUUAGCA